CCUACGGGUGGCAGCAGUGGGGAAUAUUGGACAAUGGGCGAAAGCCUGAUCCAGCCAUGCCGCGUGUGUGAAGAAGGCCUUCGGGUUGUAAAGCACUUUCAGUGGGGAAGGAAGCCUUGGGGCUAAUACCCUCGAGGAAGGACAUCACCCACAGAAGAAGCACCGGCUAACUCCGUGCCAGCAGCCGCGGUAAUACGGAGGGUGCGAGCGUUAAUCGGAAUUACUGGGCGUAAAGCGCGCGUAGGCGGUCUGAUAAGCCGGUUGUGAAAGCCCCGGGCUCAACCUGGGAACGGCAUCCGGAACUGUCAGGCUAGAGUGCAGGAGAGGAAGGUAGAAUUCCCGGUGUAGCGGUGAAAUGCGUAGAGAUCGGGAGGAAUACCAGUGGCGAAGGCGGCCUUCUGGACUGACACUGACGCUGAGGUGCGAAAGCGUGGGUAGCAAACAGGAUUAGAUACCCCUGUAGUC
rnacentral:rRNA from 1 species